GCUCCCAAGGGUUUGGCUGUUCGCCAAUUAAAGUGGUACGUGAGCUGGGUUCAGACCGUCGUGAGACAGGUCGGUCCCUAUCUGCUGUGGGCGCACGAAACUUGAGGAGAUUCAAUCUUAGUACGAAAGGACUUUAUUGGACUCAGCUCUGGUGUUCCAGUUGUCACGCUAGUGGCACGGCUGGGUAGCUAUCUGGGGAAUGGAUAAACGCUGAAAGCAUAUAAGCGUGAAGUCGGCUCCGAGAUUAGGUUUCGUUGCAGUAAUGCGAGAGUCCCCUGAUAGACAAUCAGGUUGAUAGGUCGUAUGUGUAAGGUCGGUAACGGCUUAAGCUAAACGAUACUAACGGACGAAUGCUUGAUUAC
rnacentral:rRNA from 1 species